rnacentral:rRNA from 1 species
UGGGGAAUUUUGGACAAUGGGCGCAAGCCUGAUCCAGCAAUGCCGCGUGCGGGAAGAAGGCCUUCGGGUUGUAAACCGCUUUUGUUGGGGACGAAACAGCUUGGGCUAAUACCCUGAGCGAAUGACGGUACCCAAAGAAUAAGCACCGGCUAACUACGUGCCAGCAGCCGCGGUAAUACGUAGGGUGCGAGCGUUAAUCGGAAUUACUGGGCGUAAAGCGUGCGCAGGCUGUUGCGUAAGACAGAUGUGAAAUCCCUGGGCUUAACCUAGGAAUUGCAUUUGUGACUGCGCGGCUAGAGUGCGGCAGAGGGGGAUGGAAUUCCGCGUGUAGCAGUGAAAUGCGUAGAUAUGCGGAGGAACACCGAUGGCGAAGGCAAUCCCCUGGGCCUGCACUGACGCUCAUGCACGAAAGCGUGGGGAGCAAACAGG